rnacentral:rRNA from 1 species
UACGGGGGGGGCAAGCGUUGUUCGGAAUUACUGGGCGUAAAGGGCUCGUAGGCGGCCAACUAAGUCAGACGUGAAAUCCCUCGGCUUAACCGGGGAACUGCGUCUGAUACUGGAUGGCUUGAAUCCGGGAGAGGGAUGCGGAAUUCCAGGUGUAGCGGUGAAAUGCGUAGAUAUCAAGUGGAACACCAGUGGCGAAGGCGAGUCCCUGGACAACUCCUGACACUGAGGCACGAAAGCUAGGGGAGCAAACGGG